rnacentral:pre_miRNA from 2 species
AGCCGUGGCCAUCUUACUGGGCAGCAUUGGAUGGAGUCAGGUCUCUAAUACUGCCUGGUAAUGAUGACGGCGGG